rnacentral:rRNA from 1 species
CCUACGGGUGGCUGCAGUGGGGAAUAUUGGACAAUGGGGGGAACCCUGAUCCAGCCAUGCCGCGUGUGUGAAGAAGGCCCUCGGGUUGUAAAGCACUUUCAGUGAGGAAGAACGCCUGGUGGUUAAUACCCAUCAGGAAAGACAUCACUCACAGAAGAAGCACCGGCUAACUCCGUGCCAGCAGCCGCGGUAAUACGGAGGGUGCGAGCGUUAAUCGGAAUUACUGGGCGUAAAGCGCGCGUAGGUGGCUUGAUAAGCCGGUUGUGAAAGCCCCGGGCUCAACCUGGGAACGGCAUCCGGAACUGUCAAGCUAGAGUGCAGGAGAGGAAGGUAGAAUUACCGGUGUAGCGGUGAAAUGCGUAGAGAUCGGGAGGAAUACCAGUGGCGAAGGCGGCCUUCUGGACUGACACUGAAACUGAGGUGCGAAAGCGUGGGUAGCAAACAGGAUUAGAUACCCCUGUAGUC